UUUCCAUAGCGAGAAAGAAUAAUAAAAACCAUUGAUAGGCCAUGGACUUGCAACCUAUCAUGUUUACCUGCUCAAAUACCAUAUUUAUGAGUUAAAUAUAGUUAUAAGAUGCAGACACAUUUAUGCUGUAUCUAUUAUCA